AUGAUAUAUUAUUGAUAAUUUUUUAAAAAAUAAAACAAAACAAAAAAAAUAAGGACCAUAAAUGUUGUGAGGACGAUCGGAUCGAGAUGAAAGGAUCAAAGGACACGAUGAUAGAGAGCAAGAAAGAGCGCAGCAAGGUGGGGUCCACGGCCAGCUAUGAUCGUUGGAUUUAUAAAGGCAAAGCCUACAAGUAACAAGAAGUUAAAAGCCUGUAUAACUCAGAUUCAUUUCAUGCCUCUGCUAGUUUCCUCUUUUCAUUUCAUUAAUGCUUUAUAAUCAUAUGAUCGGAAUUUGAAUUCAAAUUUCACCACAAAUUUUUUUUUUUUUAAAUUGAAUUGCAUUGUACUCUGUUCUUUUUUUUUUCUUUCAGCGGAAAGAAUUUUGAAGACAAAAAUCGGUUGUACUGCCCUACCUUUUAAAAGAUCUCGAGCAUUCCAUAUAUCUUAAAAAAUGUUCACUAUCAUAAAAUAAAUUACUGCACGUAAUUUAAGUGGUUCUCACCUUUAGUUUUCAAAUACGAAUAAGGGGUUGAGUAAAUUCUGUUUGGGAGGGAUACUGUUUGGGACAAAUGCGUCGAAGGGAUCAGGAAUGACGAGCAGAUAUCUGAUGGCGGAGUUCUGCGAACCGGUGUGUUCCGUUAAAGCCUGGCGCGUGGAAGAACAGGAGCAGAAACAUCCUGCUCGUCCACGAUGUUGUCGUCCGCGAGGCCAAUUCCUAUAAAAGGCAUAAGGCCAUUCCGGCUAGAGAUCGAGAGGCGAGGAGACCCGGUCGACGGCAGUUGGCAAGACGUGCUCUCCAGCACGAGAAUCUAGGCACAACAGCCACGCUUUCCCCAGAACCGCGACGUAACACGCAAGAUCUCACAGAGCCAUGACAGCCACACUUUCCCCAGAACCGUGGCGUAACACGCAAGGUCUCACAGAGCCAUGGCAGCCACGCUUUCCCCUGAACCGUGGCGUAACACGCUAGAUCCCAUGUUUUGCCCAUAACGCAGCAGUUGGAGUCCCAUACCGUCUCGAAAAGAGCGGAAGACUGAGAUUCAGAGGAAGCCUAUAAAAAGGUAGCCAACGAAGGUAAAAGGGUUGGCAUUCUUGAGAAAAGGGGA
rnacentral:lncRNA from 1 species